CGCGGGGUGGAGCAGCCUGGUAGCUCGUCGGGCUCAUAACCCGAAGGUCGUCAGUUCAAAUCUGGCCCCCGCAU
rnacentral:tRNA from 1 species